rnacentral:lncRNA from 1 species
AGUGUGAUUAGCAAUGGAGGUUUUAGGUGCUCAUAUUUACAAAAGGAAGUCUCUAUAUUCUGUGUAGAAGAAACUCAAAAAGUUCUCUAAAUGAGAUCUAUAAGACAAAGGAGAUCAUGUUCCUUGUCUUUAAAACAGUUUAAACUCUUUAAGAAAACAGAAAUAAAAGCAAGUUGAAUUUUGGUUUCAUCUGGCCAAUGAAGGAAGAGAUAGAGGACCUACUUGAUGACAGUAAUGCAUAAAAGAGAAAUCAAAGAGAUUGGAAGGAGGUGGGAACCACUGGUAGCUGCUACAUGUGGGGGAAGGGACCAGCUGUUGACAAUGCCAAUAUUUGACAUUGGAGUGAAUGAAGAGAGAGAAGAAAUGAGGAAGAGAAGGAGGGCAAAGGUUAAGAGAUACAUGACGAUGAGUAAGCUCAAAUGAGUCAUCCUAUGAAUUUCUGAAAUGAUUCCUGCAUGCUUCAAACAUUUUAAAUAACAGAUGUACACUCUACAGUUUUUGAGGCUGGCUGUAUUCAAACUCAUGCUACGGGAAUUGUUUCCAGGAGAGACUGGAAAGAGGAUUCUGACUUUUGUUUCAGCUUCAUGUAGAAAUUUCAUCAAAGCAACUCUAAACGCACACAUUACAAAAACAUGAAUUAGCCCCCAAUAAAUGCAUAUCAAAAAUAAGUGAAGGUAUUGGAGAGAAUGAACAUGCACAGCUUCCGGAAGACUAUUUGCACCCUAGGAAAGAGUAAGACCACAGGCCCUGGUAUAAGUGUGUACCAUCAAGUCUUUGACCCAGGCAGUCACCGCUCUCAAGGAACAAGUGUCCAUGAAGAAGCAGCCUGAGCUGUUAGGCAUCUGCCUUUGCUCAAGACAUCCUCUGCCUACCCUGGCAGUUACCCUGGAUGGUUUUGCUGUCGUGAUUAAAACACAGAUGGAGCUCAUCCCUUCCCUGGGUGUUUGAUUGGCAGACUCUCUGUGAUCAGCACUCUUCUCUGGUGAACACAUCAGCGCCAUCUGCCUUCUGUCUGCCUGGAGAGACUUGCCACAGUAGAGCUUCCUCAGCCUCACAUGAACCGCUGCAAAGGAUGUGCGCUCCUUUUGCUGAAGCCGUCAAAUAAAAAAGCUUUUUCAUGAAAAGCUAAAUAGAAUACAUGAAGAUUUUCACGACAGUAGGCUUCCGGAUUAAUGAAAUAUUCAUUUAAAUUGGACUUGGAGGAUAUGUCACUUCUUUUCUUUGAUUAAAAUAUUUAGAGCAUAACACAAAAUCACUGUGUCUUGAAAAAGCCAAACUUCAAGGAAAUUCAGCUGAUGGGGCAUCUUGUUUUCAGUGAGGUUGUUAAAGAUGAUUUUUCCAACCAGGGUCAGGUGCUUGGAACCGUUAGGUGAAUGCUAGGCAUGGUGGGAGUCCUCUUGUGUGCUUAAGAGUUUAAGAGAUCGAACCCAAUAGAUAGUAAGCUUCUUUCAAAGAGAAUGCUAAUUUUAAUGUUUUUAUGACUUAAAUAGAUUGUAAUAAGUUAUUACUUCCUAAUUUAGAUGUUGGUAUGACGACUGGGCAGACGCAUGUUCUUGUUCCACAUCAACAUUGUAUGACUGCAGAGUGUAGCCUGAGUGCUUAGGAAAGGGUACUUUUACGAUAUUGGAAGACUGGACAUCGUGACAUUAGGAGGAGGGAGGGGGUUACUGGGCUGUUCUAAAAUUAGCAAUGUGAAGAGCUGGUUCAAACUUAAUUGCCUAGGUGUGGAAGAAAUAUACUUGUAUUGUGCUUAAUAAUGUGAAUUAUCUGUAUCAUUAAAUAACAGGAAACCCGUUUGAGUUUCUUCUUCCUGUCCAAAUAAAUAAAUAAAUAAAUAAAUAAAUAUAAUUAACACAGUGAAAAAUA